rnacentral:rRNA from 1 species
CCAAAGUAAUAAGAGCAUACGGGGAAUGCCUAGGUAGCAGAAGGCGAAGAAGGACGUGGUAAGCUGCGAAAAGCUACGGGGAGAAGCAAACAAUCGAAGAUCCGUAGAUAUCCGAAUGGGGCAACCCGAAAGAGCUGGAAACAGAGGUGAACCCUGGGAAGUGAAACAUCUCAGUACCAGGAGGAAAAGAAAUCAAACGAGAUUCCUUUAGUAGUGGCGAGCGAAAAAGGAAGAGCCCAAAAGAUAUUAGUGUAAAAGGAUAUGGCCGUUGCUAAUAUCUGGUAGAGGGAUAGAAAUAGCCGAACCAUAAGAUAGGCGCUUAAGAAUCGGAGAUAGAGGAACUAUAUGGGAAGAUAGACGAAAAAGGGUGAAAGUCCCGUACUCGAAAUCGAAGAAGGCGAAGUUUUCUAAUCCCAAGUAGAGUAGGACACGAGAAAUCCUGCUUGAAUCAGGGUGGACCACCAUCCAAGGCUAAAUACUAACUGCUGACCGAUAGAGAAGAGUACCGUGAGGGAAAGGUGAAAAGGACCCCGGGAGGGGAGUGAAAGAGAACCUGAAACCGUAUGCUUACAGGAAGCGGGAGCGCAAGUGACCGUGUGCCUUUUGAUUAAUGUGCCCGUGAGUUAUUGUUACUGGCGAGGUAAAUCCGGAAGAGGAAAAGCCGAAGGGAAACCAAGUUUUAAAAGAGCGAAAGUCAGUAGUAAUAGACCCGAAGCCAGGUGAGCUACAUAUGUGCAGGUUGAAAGUCAGGUAAAACUGAGUGGAGGACCGAACCGGUAGAUAGUAAAAAAUCUUCGGAUGACAUGUGUGUAGGAGUGAAAAGCUAAUCGAACCUGGUGAUAGCUGGUACUCCCCGAAACGUGUGUAGGCACGGCCUAGAUAGAAGCAGUAAUUGGGGUAGAGCACUGAUUGGCGUAUGGGGGACGACCUCAGAAACCAGUCAAACUACGAAUACAAGAAACUGAGAAAUCUGGAGACAGACUACGGAGGAAAAGCUCCGUGGUCGAGAGGGAAACAGCCCAGACCGACAGCUAAGGUUCCGAAGGGAAAGCUAAGUGUGAAAGGUAGUGAAGUUCUUUAGACAGCCGGGAGGUUGGCUUAGAAGCAGCCAUCCUUUAAAGAGUGCGUAACAGCUCACCGGUAGAAGGACAAUGCGCCGAAAAUGUAACGGAGCUAAAGCUUUACACCGAAGCUACGGAAUGGCAAAAGUCAUUGGUAGGGGAGCAAUGUAUGCUAGGGAGAAGGAUAAUUGAAAGAUUAUCUGGACGAAAUACAAGAGCGGAUGCGGGCAUGAGUAACGAAAUGGGAGUGAGAAUCUCCCACCCCGAAAGUCUAAGGGUACCUGGGGAAGGGUCGUCCGCCCAGGGUAAGUCGGAUCCUAAGGGGAACCCGAAAGGGGUAACCGAUGGGAAACAGGUAAAGAAUCCUGUACCGUGAAUUAUUGAAUAAUGAGGUGUGACGCAGGAGGCGAAUUUCCGAGACCAAGUUGCAAGGUUUUCUAAAUGCAAAAGCCGAAGAGGCUCCUAGGGAAAACCGGGAGAAGAGGAAGAUGUAUGAUGGGAAGGUCAAAAGAGACCAACGGAGAGGAAUCACACUGCCAAGAAAAGCAUCGCAUUGUGCUUGAGAUAAUGAGCGACCGUUCUGAAAACCGACACAGGUAGACGGGCUGAGAAGGCUAAGGGGAGCGGAAUAACUUCUGUUAAGGAACUAGGCAAAAUAGCCCCGUAACUUCGGGAAAAGGGGUGCUUAUUCGGGUGUUGAAAGAUGCGUGAAUAAGUUGCAGUGACAAGGCCCUGGCGACUGUUUACCAAAAACACAGGUCUCUGCGAACACGUGAAGUGGAAGUAUAGGGACUGACGCCUGCCCAGUGCCGGAAGGUUAAGAGGAGGAGUGCAAGCUUCGAAUUGAAGCCCCGGUAAACGGCGGCCGUAACUAUAACGGUCCUAAGGUAGCGAAAUUCCUUGUCGGGUAAGUUCCGACCUGCAUGAAUGG